UACAGAGGGGGCAAGCGUUGUUCGGAAUUACUGGGCGUAAAGGGCGCGUAGGCGGCCUUCUAAGUCGAACGUGAAAUCCCCGGGCUCAACCCGGGAACUGCGUCCGAUACUGGAAGGCUUGAAUCCGGGAGAGGGAUGCGGAAUUCCAGGUGUAGCGGUGAAAUGCGUAGAUAUCUGGAGGAACACCGGUGGCGAAGGCGGCUUCCUGGACCGACACUGACGCUGAGGCGCGAAAGCUAGGGGAGCAAACGGG
rnacentral:rRNA from 1 species